rnacentral:rRNA from 1 species
GGCGGUGAUUUAACCAAUCAGAGGAAUUUGCCCCGUUAUCGAUAACCCACGUUGAACCUUACUUAGUUURGUAGACAGUUUGUAUACCGCCGUCAUCAGGAAAUUUUAAGAAAAUAUUUCCAGAAACUUUUAGAAGAAUAUGUCAGGUCAAGGUGCAGCCAAUAGCUAAGGGGGAGGUUAAUUACAAUAAAAUUAUUUAUUACGGCUUUUUAUAUGAAAGAGAAAAUAAAGGUGGAUU